rnacentral:sRNA from 1 species
UACUGUAAUAAUGCCCAACGAAGUGGA